UUUUCCUGCUGUGUGUGUGUGUACUUUUUCCUCCCUCUUACUCUAUCUGGUUUCUGAUAGGAUGCCUACUGAUUGGAUGUACGAUCGCCAUUGGUGGUGGAGACAAGGCGGGGACUUUAAAAAGGACGCUGCCGGCAUUCAACGGGGAGCUCAUUAUUGGUUCGGACGCGGUUGGGUUGAGAGCUCCUGGAUCCCUUCUCCGGCCGAUGAUCAAAUUUGUCACUUUCGAGUAGCAAGUAAAUGCUAGUGAUCACGUUCUUGCCUUUUCGACCUUGUGUGUUUAGAACGUGGAGCAAAGGGGUGUCCUGCCGAUUUGUUUUGGCUAUCUGUUUGGGUUCUGUUUUGUGUUAGGAAGUUAGGGAAGUAAGAUGUAUUUUACUUUUAUUAUUUGAGGUUAGUUAUUACUCUUUUCGUUUCUAGAUUUGUUUUGUUUGUUAUUUUGGCCUUUGGGACACCCUGGAGAGAUGCUCUGUUUCACUUGUUAACUUUUAAUAAAUCUAAUAACUUAUACUGAUUAACAUCUUGUACCUGUUUGAUUAUCGACCGGAGUGACUCGUUCUUGGGAUUCCAUCACCACAACCCAGUCUUAUUACGCCCUAUUUAGAGUUUUCUACUACCCUUAGGCCCAGGGCGUAAUAAUUGGGGGCUCGUCCAAUUCUAUUGACUUGUUUUUGUUUGUUAUUCGUUCGAUGCGAAUUAAGGGGUUUGCGGCUCUGCUGGAUGCCUACUGAUUGGAUGUACGAUCGCCAUUGGUGGUGGAGACAAGGCGGGGACUUUAAAAAGGACGCUGCCGGCAUUCAACGGGGAGCUCAUUAUUGGUUCGGACGCGGUUGGGUUGAGAGCUCCUGGAUCCCUUCUCCGGCCGAUGAUCAAAUUUGUCACUUUCGAGUAGCAAGUAAAUGCUAGUGAUCACGUUCUUGCCUUUUCGACCUUGUGUGUUUAGAACGUGGAGCAAAGGGGUGUCCUGCCGAUUUGUUUUGGCUAUCUGUUUGGGUUCUGUUUUGUGUUAGGAAGUUAGGGAAGUAAGAUGUAUUUUACUUUUAUUAUUUGAGGUUAGUUAUUACUCUUUUCGUUUCUAGAUUUGUUUUGUUUGUUAUUUUGGCCUUUGGGACACCCUGGAGAGAUGCUCUGUUUCACUUGUUAACUUUUAAUAAAUCUAAUAACUUAUA